AACGCUGGCGGCGUGCUUAACACAUGCAAGUCGGACGCGAACAGCACCUUCGGGUGCUAAGUAGAGUGGCGCACGGGUGAGUAACACGUGGGUAACCUACCCCUCGGCGGGGGAUAACCACUCGAAAGGGUGGCUAAUACCGCAUACGUUCAGCCCCACCUUGGUGGAGCUGAAGAAAGCGGCGCAAGUCGCACCGGGGGAUGGGCCCGCGCACCAUUAGCUAGUUGGUGGGGUAAUGGCCUACCAAGGCUUCGAUGGUUAGCUGGUCCUGAGAGGAUGAUCAGCCACACUGGGACUGAGACACGGCCCAGACUCCUACGGGAGGCAGCAGUGGGGAAUUUUGCGCAAUGGGCGGAAGCCUGACGCAGCAACGCCGCGUGUGUGAUGAAGGCCUUCGGGUUGUAAAGCACUGUCCAGAGGGAAGAACAAGCGGGGUUUAUACCUCGUCCUGACGGUACCUCUGAAAAAGCACUGGCUAACUCCG
rnacentral:rRNA from 1 species